AGAGUUUGAUCCUGGCUCAGGAUUAACGCUGGCGGUACGUCUAAUACAUGCAAGUCGAGCGGAGUACUUCGGUACUCCGCGGCGAACGGGUGAGUAACACGUAGGUAACCUGCCUUUAAGACGAGGAUAACAGUUGGAAACAACUGCUAAUACUGGAUUGGAAGCGAGGAAGGCAUCUUCCUAGCUUGAAAGGUCCUUUACGGGACUACUUAAAGAGGGGCCUGCGGCGCAUUAGUUAGUUGGUAAGGUAAAGGCUUACCAAGACAAUGAUGCGUAGCUGGACUGAGAGGUUGAACAGCCACACUGGGACUGAGAACGGCCCAGACUCCUACGGGAGGCAGCAGUAGAGAAUCUUCGGCAAUGGGGGGAACCCUGACCGAGCGAUACCGCGUGAAUGAAGAAAUACUUCGGUAUGUAAAGUUCUUUUAUAGAGGAUGAAUGAUGCGUGUAGGAAAUGACACGCAAGUGACAGUACUUUAGGAAUAAGCCCCGGCUAACUAUGUGCCAGCAGCCGCGGUAAUACAUAGGGGGCAAGCGUUAUCCGGAUUUAUUGGGCGUAAAGGGUGCGUAGGCGGCCGUUUAAGUUUGAGGUGUAAGUUCAAGGCUCAACCUUGUGAUGCUUCAAAAACUGGAUGGCUUGAGAGAGGUAGAGGCAAGUGGAAUUCCAUGUGUAGCGGUAAAAUGCGUAAAUAUAUGGAGGAACACCAGUGGCGAAGGCGGCUUGCUGGGCCUUAUCUGACGCUGAGGCACGAAAGCGUGGGGAGCAAACAGGAUUAGAUACCCUGGUAGUCCACGCCGUAAACGAUGAGUACUAAGUGUCGGGAGAACCCGGUGCUGCAGUUAACGCAUUAAGUACUCCGCCUGAGUAGUACGUGCGCAAGCAUAAAACUCAAAGGAAUUGGCGGGACCUCGCACAAGCGGUGGAUCAUGUUGUUUAAUUCGACGAUACGCGAAGAACCUUACCAGGCCUUGACAUACCGAGCGAUGCUAUGGAGACAUAGCGGAGGUUAUUCUGGGAUACAGGUGGUGCAUGGUUGUCGUCAGCUCGUGUCGUGAGAUGUUGGGUUAAGUCCCGCAACGAGCGCAACUCUUAUCGCUAAUUGCCAUCAUUAAGUUGGGGACUUUAGCGAGACUGCCAGUGACAAACUGGAGGAAGGUGAGAAUGACGUCAAAUCAUCAUGCCCCUUAUGGCCUGGGCUACAAACGUGAUACAAUGGUUGGUACAAAGGGAGGCAACGCCGCGAGGCCAAGCGAACCCCAUAAAACCAAUCUCAGUUCGGAUUGAAGUCUGCAACUCGACUUCAUGAAGUCGGAAUCGCUAGUAAUCGUAGAUCAGAACGCUACGGUGAAUACGUUCUCGAGGUUUGCACACACCGCCCGUCAAG
rnacentral:rRNA from 1 species